rnacentral:rRNA from 1 species
AGUGAACGCUGGCGGUAGGCCUAACACAUGCAAGUCGAACGGCAGCACAGGAGAGCUUGCUCUCUGGGUGGCGAGUGGCGGACGGGUGAGGAAUACAUCGGAAUCUACUCUGUCGUGGGGGAUAACGUAGGGAAACUUACGCUAAUACCGCAUACGACCUACGGGUGAAAGCAGGGGACCUUCGGGCCUUGCGCGAUGGAAUGAGCCGAUGUCGGAUUAGCUAGUUGGCGGGGUAAAGGCCCACCAAGGCGACGAUCCGUAGCUGGUAUGAGAGGAUGAUCAGCCACACUGGAACUGAAACACGGUCCAGACUCCUACGGGAGGCAGCAGUGGGGAAUAUUGGACAAUGGGCGCAAGCCUGAUCCAGCCAUACCGCGUGGGUGAAGAAGGCCUUCGGGUUGUAAAGCCCUUUUGUUGGGAAAGAAAUCCAGCUGGCUAAUACCCGGUUGGGAUGACGGUACCCAAAGAAUAAGCACCGGCUAACUUCGUGCCAGCAGCCGCCGUAA